rnacentral:ncRNA from 1 species
GUCCUGAGCAAGACAUUAAACUGCUCACCACCUAAUACCGCAUUACCUGAUCACUGAUGGCUCAACGGUACCUGGUGGACAAGUUAAUACUGUAGCUGCCUUUUGAGCGGGUUUGCUGCAGACCGAAACGGAGGUUUCCGUUUGGACUGCGGUUGAUUCUUUACACCCAUUUUGCGGCAGCACC